CCUGCAGGGAAGGCGAGGAGGAGAGGAGCAGGUUAGUGGACGAGAGCGGCCUUCCUCGGCCCUCGAGUACAAGUCCGUGCGCCCUCACGGGGGGUCUGCUACUGCGAGGGGUCUCCCUGGGUCGUGGGGAGAUUGGCCUGAGUCAGGGCUCAGCAGGGGGAAGCUGCUCACAGGCAAGAAAAAAGAAAUCCACGUUCAGGAGCCCUGCACACCAGGGACGCCCGUGGAGGGGGAGAGGGACACAGGGGCUUGAGAACUCUAGGAAACCCUCCGGUCCAGGCCCUGCCCUCUGCGCCUGCACCUCAGGAGCGUGCAGACCUCCGGGAUGCCCAGAGUCCUCUUUCAGAGAGCAGCUGCUUGGGUCGCCCUCCAGGGGACCUCAGGCACCACCAGCUUUCCCUGCAUUUGUAUGUGGUCCUAGAAGCACGUUCAGAGUGUCAAGUGAAACGGAGAUGAUAUUUUGAAAGGAGUUUAAAAAAUUUCUGAAUCCGCACUAUUUAUCUUAAAUUACAUCCACUGUUUUCUGAUUACAGAAACUGUAUGGAAAAUGUAUUGGACACUAGAAUGAAAACAGAGACUUUUUCAAGUCCUCGAGAUAUGCAUCACUGUGGAGGCUGGGAGAAUUUGGCGACAGUGCUGGGAUCCUAAGGAGACCUCACACGGCUUCGGGGACAGCAAGAAACACAGGCAGUGGAGACUGUGAACCCUGAGGUGUCUCUGUCACCGUUUGUGAGGCCGUGGGUAAGUUCCUCUCAGUUCCGAGCUCUGCUUUCUUGUGUUAAGCUCCCCAUGGAAGUGGCUUCUGGGUCUAAGUGAACAUUGGCUGGCCUGACGGAUGGCUCUGAGUCCUCGGCCCUCACUUCACCUGCAGUCCCAGGCCAGGGCGUGGUGGCUUGGCUUGAGCUGGCCGAUGGUUGCACCUGGAACCUCAGUCCCUAAUCCUCAGUUAGUCCCCAGGGCCCACGUGUUGGGGGCUGCUGGCUGUGCACACCUGACGCCUCCUUUUGGCCAGUCCAUGGCAUCAUCUCUGUGGUUACUGCAGGUCUGUUAACGUGCCCGUGAGGUGAAGGAAUAACAUGUUCAUGAGAACCUCAGAAGCCAAAGCUGCAAAAUGGGUGGGUGCAGGCCAAGCACUAAGAAGCCAUUAGGGCGCUUGCCCACCCCCAGUGCUGGGGCACGUGGGUUACGGAAUGGGUUAGACGGCCACCAGGUCGACCUCAAGAAAACUUCCAUGACAAGGUACACUGUGAAAGGCCCCAAGAACCCCAACCAGCGGCACGUCCCUCUUGGGUGUUCACUGGUCUCUGAGAGACCAAAGGCUCAGCUGAGAGCUCUUGUCCUCCGGUUCCAGAGAAUGGCAUGUGCCACCUGCUGGCGCAGCUGCUUGGGUGCUGUCUGGUAAAACACGCUAGCAUCAUCGUGGCCGUCGGGAAGCAAUUUCAGUCCAGAGCAAGACCACAGAAUGUGAAAUGGAGCUGCUCAGGCACAUGCCCUCAGAAGGACAGAUCGUAAAUGCCGAGAGACUGAUGUCCUGUAACUGCCUGAUCAAUAGAAGACAGACACUUCUCUCCUAAGCAGCCAACACCUGCCCAGGAUCUCUCCCUGUUCUCAAGCCAGUGAAUCGGGACCAUGGACAUUGCUAGAACACUUGCCACUUUUCUGUGAGACCACCUUCUGCAAAGUGUAAGACUCCUGUGUAAGGAUAAGGUGCUUACGGACACGUAGGCUUCACACCGGGUCACCUGUCACCCACCAGACAAUCCCGUGCAAUUAGGGACACCUGGUCUUAGGUCAGACCUCUUGGAAAAACUCCCCAAAAUGGGAUCCCAGUCAUCUCAAGGCUCUAUGGGUGCCCCCACCAAACCCCAGGGUUUUCAUGCUAAAAAUAGUUAUGGUAUCUCAUGCACACAGACCAGCAGUACUGAAGACAACCUAGAAUCCCAGAGAUCCCUAUGAAGAUUGUUCCAGUGAGGUAAGUUUGUUCAUUUAAGACGUGCACGUGAAUGUAAGGGUUCCCAAACAGAAUGGGAUCCAUGUUUUAGUUGGUACGCAGAAGCCUCCGGAAGGCUUCAAAAUUUGGAACUGCUUCACUAAUUCUGAUUCAUUGCAAAAGGGUAAUGAAAAGUUCAAGACAGAGGUGGUACCUAAAACAAAAGACUGUCCGCCUGCUGGGACUCCUGCUACUCCCCGUUACCCUCCUCUACACCGAAGCACUCGUGGUAUUACUCCUUUAUCCGAAUGGUCUUCCAGCCUGCAAGAGACUACGUGAGCCUGUAACACGGCUGUCAAAGGAGGGUCCCCACAUGGGGCCCUCGAGGGAUUCUCUUGUAACGGAUACCAGUGACUCCUGAAAGAGCCCAGCGGAAACUAAACCUGGGGCACCCCUGUCAGGUUCCGGUAGUGCAUGAGAUACACUCUGUACUUCAAACCCCACUUGCUCUGGAGCCCACAGAUGGGAAUCCUGGAAAAACUAGCAGAAGCCUGCGACAGGCAAGAAUCCUUACCAGAGUCCUCUCUCCCAAAUCUCUGUAGCCCACUCAAAAGAGGAAGGUAAAAUUUUGAGUUCCUUCCUUUACAACUCCAAACUGACGGGUUACUGAACCUCUCUUUCCCAGGGACAGCUGUUGCCCUCCUGUCUCCUGGGUCCUGAGAGCUGGGCUUGGCAGCCAUCACAUUGCCCCCGCCCCCACCAAUAUAUGGCCAGGCAGAAAUGUGGGUUGAACUCCAUAUGCUUAUCGCCAGUCCUCAGAAGUCUCUCGGCCUGUUUUGGUCAUCUCUGGGAGUGGCUCUGGCUCCUGGGAGAGUGGUAUUCUCUGUACCCUCUCUGAGGACGCCUUCUGUGUCCAUGGUGGUGUUCAGUCCUAGCCAGGAAUAGUUACUGUUUGGGCUCAAACCUGACAGAGUUGAAAGGAUUUUUAGGAAGCUCUCUGGUCAGAAGUUGGCCAGAUUGGAAGCAGCCUGUCCUCACCAGAACCUGACAGCAACCUCAUGGGCGGCUUUCUCCCCAUGUCCUCAGAGGGAAAGAAAAACAUUUUGCCGCCAUCUGUGGAAGGAUUUACUAGAACAAGCCAGACACUAAGCUCUAAACCUGGAACACAGGAAUCUUGUGAUUUCCAUUCUAACUGAAGGUAGAAUGGGAUGGGUGGGUCUGCCUGUGAUGUCUCUCAGGUCGCAACCCAAUUUCUUGAGGAAUUAAAAACGAGGGUUCCUGUCUGAGGACAAAGCACAUCUUCACCAGAACAAGUACAGCUCUCGGAGCAAGUCAGAUCCCACCUGUCGUUUUGACCCAUCCCCAAACCUUCCCAGUUCGUCUCAAGAGGCUUGAUGUGAAGGCCUUCUCCCAGGAAUGGUGGGAAUGUUGUACUUGCAGAACUUGUCUCAUAGGCCAUCCCUUUCCCGUGCAAACUUCAGGGAGGUCAUUCUUACCAGAAGGAGAAAAACAGGGGGUAGGCUAUUUGGAAUUAGGUGACUGACAGUCUUAAUGUCUUCUCCCCAGAUGCUUUAGCCGUCUGAGCAGGUGACCUGAAUUCAUCCCAACUUUCAGAAACAUGAUUUAGUUCCAGCUGUUCUUCUGUAAACUAGUCAGUUUUGCGUUCUCAUACUGGUCUCCUGGCUACACUUUAAAACGAAAGCUGUAAGAUCUCUACGUCUGUGGAUGUAUGUUGUACUUGGGUGACGUUUUUUCUACCUCUGGGUGAUAAUGCCAAAAUUAAUUUGUAAAAGCUUUUUAAUUAAUUGGCUUAAAAAGAAGCUUUCCUUGUCAACAAACCACUGCCAGUUUUGUAGCAACAAGAUUACCUGAGAACACCAUCUGGACCUGGGCCGCUGCCACAGGUUUGCACACUGACCUCAGAGGCCAUGUCGCUGGCCUGCCGAUCCCAGAGCACGCACAGCCCUUCCUGUGCCUUAGAGGCUGCCCUGCCCUCCUUAAUCUCCGGGACUAGUAGAAAGGAUUAAAGGCAUCCUCGAAACCCCAUUAGGAAACUUCUGUGCAACUCUGGAAUUUCUCUGGACCAAGAUGCGGUCAUUGGACUUUCUGAAGCUCCAGUCCUUACGUUUAGAAAAGCUUGUUCUAACUGGCGGGUGUACACAUUUGCCUCCUUCCUGGUACUUUGACCCUCAGAUUGCCCAACCAGACCUGUUAGGAUAUUGCCACUUCCUCUCUCUUUCCAGAACAAGAAUACCACCCGACCUUCAUGAGCCACAUUCCGGAGAGUACUCGUACUGGAAGAGACAUCAAGUCAAGGACUCCCUCUGUCCUAUUGUGCAAGGACCUUUCUGGUACUGCUGACCAGUUCCUGCCCAGCUAACCCUGGAGGCAUCUGCCCCUGGAUUCAUCUGCCCCAACAUCUGGGAGUCAGGGUAUCUGAAAGGAACAGCCUCAAGCUCUCCAGCCACCAGCAGCAGAGGGCUAGCCCAGAUGUCGGACCAGGCCUCGAACUCUCCUCCUUCCCUCUGAAAAUCGUGACAGGCAAAAAUGAACCAGACUCCUCCACUUAAGUGUUGUUUUUCUAUCUGCUCUCUUCUGUUACUCCUUGGAAAGACUUGGAAAGACUGUAUGCUCCCCCUUACGGGCAACUGCCCAGGGAGACAACCUCUCAGACUGCUGAAUCUGCCUUCACAAACUCUGAUCUGCCCAUGAUUUUGGGCACCCCUGGGCUUUCUUGCAUCCAUUUCUCCUUCAUAAACCACAUCCGAAUUCCCUUCAAUGUCAGCUUCUACAGUUAGACUUCGCAGCCAGGCUUUCCCAGUGUCUUCUUGUUACCAUUCUCCAGUGAUACCCAUCCUUGACCAAUGAGGUACAGAUACCCGUGUGCCCUAGAUAAGUCCACUGGCAUCACCAGGCUCUUAUGAUUUUCCAAAUCAGAUUUGCCCCUGAUCACAAAGAAUUUUCACCAGAAGCAUCUGCUUUGGCAAGGAAUUUAGAACAACUCUUUACUUUAGACUAGGAGACUGACUUCCUGAAUGUGCCAGAAACCUAACCAACCCCUGGCUGGACCGAGCAGACGUGGCGCUGACCCCCUGAGCAGGGCCGCUUCAGCCCGACAGCAUUGGUCUUUGUCCGGGGUGGGGCGCUGAUCCUUCUCCCGGGGCCUCUGAGCACCCAGACUGGCAUAUAAGCAGUUCUCUCUCACUGUACCCCAACUGUCCGCAGCCAAACUGAGACAUCUUAUUGGUCAGCUCCCCUGAAUUUACAUUAUCAGGUUAAAGGAGACCAGGAGGCAUUCAUAAUUCAGGAGUCGCUUCCUUUGGCUGAUCUCUACCUCGCUGAUUAGGGGCGUGCGAACAGGCUAGGGCCCCAGACUUUGCUUUAACCCAUCGAACCACUGACAGCUCAGGUGCUAAGGCUAUCGCUGCCCAGCAAGACUCCCUAGAUUCUCUGCCUAAAAUUGUCUUUGACGGCAGGCUAGCCCUCAAUUACCUCUUGGCAGUAUAGGCUGGCUGUGCCACAGUCAGUCAAGAUGCAGACUUGGCUUAACACUUCCAGGGAAGUCAAGGUUCAGUUACAUCGUCUGAGAAUAAGCCACUGGUUACAAGUCCAGUUUGACUCCUCUUGGAAUUCUGAUUUAUUCAGCUGGUUCCCAAAAAGACCAGGCUUCUGGUUUAAAUCUAUACUACAGCUGGAUCUUUCUAUCCUACUUGUCAUUUUGUUUUAUGAUUCUUUAAAGUACUGAGUUACCCAGUCUGGCCUUCGUGAAAAUAACGAGCCUGACACAUUUCAAAGCCUUGGGCAAGCAGUGUCUGACAUCUACACCCUUGACAAAGUCUCCUUGCCUUGACUGUCCACUUUGACCCAAUAUAAGUUGCUCAGGUGUGGCCUUUUGCUUGCUACUAUUCCCGAAGCUGUUCUCACCCUGAAGGAAGGCAUGGUAAAGAAUAAAGAUACAAGCAUGAGUGAAGAAAGAACACGGAUCAUCAAAAGGUGAAGUCCCUGCAAAAGACACUCAGCAGUGUAUAGCGUGAUUGCUGCCCCUCACUCAAUACUGAAGGGGAAAUGUAGAACCAAACUAAAAUGGAGUCACUUAUGUCAAGGAAAAAAUGGAGACAAUCAGUGUAGGCUCAUAAAGGAAGAUUAACCUAUCCUUACACAAAUUCUCGCUCUUCCCAGAAAUCAGAGGACACCAGCCAGUCUCCCAAAGCCAAUUCGGUUUAGCUCUUUCUGAACUUCCCCGUCCCCUGCAAAUAUGCAUGGUUUGGUUUUUGGCCUUGCUACUUGUUCAGAUGGGGCCACUGAGAUCCCCUUUCCAGUUCCCUCCUCUGUGGCACAUGACAUGUGAAGAUGGUCUUCCCUCCAAGGGCCUUGUGCUCCAUCUAACAUCUUUGAUUACGGAAGGAAUAAAAGGGAAAACAAUGCCUAAACAACGUGGUUAUCAGUGAUGGUUUCUGCAAAAGAUCUUGAGCAACAGUGGGGAAUGUGAAAGGAUUUCAAUCUAAAAUGAAACCAGAGGCUAUGAAAUGAACAAUCUCACGCAUGUCCCCUCAGAAGAAUGGAACUUAAGAACUCAGAAAUUGAUUUUCCGUAAAAACUUACUUACAGAAGACUGAGACUGACUGCUUAACCAGAGAACUAUGCCAAGGAUCUCUUCCUGUCCUGCAGCCGAUGAAUUUGUUUGGACUCUGGCUAGACUUUUCCCUCUUUGCACACUUUGCAAAUCCAGCCUGCCCCAAGCCCUCAACGCUCACCUGUAGCUUGCUACAAGCCUGCAUUUCUCAAAGUGCACUUCUGCCGCUCCCACAUGAACUCCAUUUCUGGCCGCUGGAGCCUGCCUCAGUUGACCUCCUUACUGAGGUAGUUUGCCAUCACUGGGAACAUUCCAGUUAGAUAAUCCACGUAAGUCAACCUGAAAGCAAGGUUUGCCAAACGCAUCAGAAUGGGUUACCCAUCUUCGUGGGCAUGCGGAAGCCUCCAAAAGGUUUCACAGUACCAGAAUAGCUUCAUUAAGAACGUCAUUGCAAAAGGAUAAUGAAAAGUGAAAGACACAAGAGGUACCCAAAACCAAGACCGUAACAUUGACGUGACUCUUCCUACUUUCCUUUAUCCUCUCUCCCCUCCGAGCACUCAUGAUCCGCUCAUCCUCUGAGGUGUCUUUCCCCUCUGAAGAGACCACAUGACUGUCAACAAAAGUCUGCCCUGUUACUGGCCCCAAAGGUGGGCCUCCAUAUGAGCCCUCCUCAUAGUUGACGGGACUCUGAGGGGUUUUCUGGUAACCUGUGACCAGUUAGUCCGUUAAAACAGCCAACGGGAAACUAAAAUGGAAAUGAAUGGAGAGCCUUGCUCAAUUCUGAUAGAUCCUAGGGCUAUAUGCUCUACUUUAUGCCUCACUUGCUUGAGACCCUGCAGGUGAGGGCCUGGGAAAAGUGGCAGAAGCUGGCAAAGGGUGGGAAUCCUGAUCAGAGUCCGCUUCCCUGACUUCUUACAACUCAAGUCUUUAUAAGAACAGAAGUACAGCCAUUUAAAUGGAGGCAAUUCAGAGCCCACCUAGCAUUUUUAGCAAUCCCCAAAUCUCCACACCCACCCCCCUCCUCCCACCAUCAUCUCAAAAGCUUUAUAAUUACUGUAAAAAUCUGGCCUCAGGAUACCAAAAUUCCGUCUUGAAGGAACUAGAGAUGUGAAUGUUCUAUCUGGUUUUCUCUAGAGUGUCCCUGGAAAAUCUCAAAGGAUUUGUUUCUCCCCUUAUAAAAGAUGCUUCACUAAUUAGGUUUAUUUGCUACGUUAAAUUACAUGGGAAGCUUUGUCAUGUAAGUAAUAAAAACCUUCUUAGGUUAUUUUUAUAGACCAUGUUAUUCUUGAAAAUGUAUGAAGUUUCUAGAAAUCUGAUAUGUCCUGGGUAUAAUGUUAUUCACAAUUUCAGUUAUUAUCUUUAAAUGUUGUAUAUCACAGAAAUAAUCAAAUUUCCUUAUCAAUUUCAUUAUAAUGAACUCCAAUUAGAUCUGAGCAUUUUAAAGUGUUUUGUCAUUUACAGCCAUCUGAUUUUUGCAGAACUGAGAAUCAGGAAGGAAUCCUACCAAGAACUCCUGACACUGCUGCUCGAUUACAAGGUGCUGAACCCUAGUGCGUAUUUUGUGACCGAAGAAGGCUCCACCUCCCGUCUGGUCCACUGCAGAAGCUGGAGACGCCAGACUCAAACUGACAAGUUAGAGGCGUACCAAGUCGAGGUUGAGGGCUUCCUCCCAAGGUGUGGCAAAUUUCUCCUUCCCUCUCUGACCAUUCUUCCCCUAAUUCUUACUCCAUGAAGGUCUGCGUGAUCCUCUUGUCCACCUUUCUCCUGGCCCUGGCCUGCAGAGAUAAUGCCAUUGUGCACCCGUCUCAGGCCACUGCCACGGGAGAGGUAAUCUACCCGUCACAGACUUAUGCCUGACUGCCCGCGCCUCAGUUGCCCUGGGCCCAAUGCAGCCCCUCUCUCCACCAGGUCACAGGCCCUGGUUACGAACCCCAGGCCCAGAGAACUUGGCAUCCAGGCUCUGUCCAAAGAAGGGGACACCAGGCAAGGGUAAUAACCAAAUAAAACCACAAACCUCGAGUUGUACUGGCCUCCGUGGCUGUCCUCCUCUGAGUCCCAAGCCACAGACUCAAACAGAAAUGACCAAGAACCAUUCACGAAUCCAAGUUUGCUUCCCUUGGCAGAUCGUCCGCCUCCUGGACAGGAGUAAGCACGAGCGAGCCUGCACUUUGGGACUUCUCCCUCACUCUCGCAGAUGUCGCAGAAUUGGCUUCUAGAACAAGACCUGCCUCACGAAUUCCUAGGCUCUCUGCCCGAGCUGUUCCUACGCAUAGCCCCGGAGUGUCUCUCAGCUGAGGUGCUGCUGUGGCCAAACAGUGCCACUUGCUGAACUCGGAUCGACGCUUCCCGGGAAGUGAAGCCUCAGUUACCCAAGACCCCCGCACACGGCAGUGGCUUACAAAAGGGACUCCGUCAGUGGGGUCUUCCUGAUCAGUUGUUCCUCUGCUCUGAUAACCACAGUCGUCCCACUCACGCACGCUUUGCUCUCAAAAGCUUUAACUACAUGGUUGCAGCCAUUCACCACCCAGCAAAGGAUCUCUCCACGGACAGAACUUCAGAAAAGGAACGAAGAGAAUGACCAGCGUAAAGAAUGAACCUGAUCUACUGACCUGUGAGUACCACACAGAUUCAGCAAAACCUGUGAGAACUGAGCGUUAGCUACAAGUAACCCUAAUGCCUUAAGUUUUGAUCACAUCUCUUGGUGAGGCUAGGAGUCUGAGUAAAAGGAAGGAAUUGUUAAAAAUAAGAAAACAAGCCCCAAAUGGAGUCACCAAUGCUAAGACCCACAUCACCAAACUGAGACCUCAACUUCAGUAUCAGUUCUCCCAGAGUCGUAACCCAAUCACAAAUGACCUUGCAAGAACCAGUCGAUUUUUUGCCUCAUAUAAAUCCGUGUUCCUGCUCCCUUCUGCCUAGAGAAGUCUCAUCUGGAACAGCUCCUUUCUGUCUGCUAGAGAUGCUGCCCGAGUCAUGAAUUACUGAAUAAAGCCUAUACUGUGUCUCCGA